rnacentral:lncRNA from 1 species
UGAACUAUGCUAAAAGGUCUAUGUAACCUCACUGCGUAGUCAGCCAAGAAAAACUUCAGCUCUUCAAGACUAUUAAACUUCAUUCCCUUCUUAAUCACUGGACUCUCACUAAAGGGCAUUCCUUCGGAAUUCACCAUACUAGAUUCACAUAUGGCUUUGUGGACCAUACUGAUGUCCUUAUCAUUGGGAACGGAUGGCAGUUCGACAUCACGUUCUUUUAACAACCGCAACUUGUUCUGGGUGUAAGAAAAAUAUUCGUCCAUACGACCAAUGCCUUCUAUAUCAUGCACGGUUGCGGUGUCGAACUGCGGUCCAUCCUCUUCAUAUUCUACCUCCUCGUCCUCAUUUUCAUGCCCACCACUCUGAGAUAAUGACUCCUCCUCUGCCUCGACACCUACUACCCCAUCUUCGUUGAAUUCACUAUCUUCGGAACCCAUGGAGACAUUAUCAUCAUCUAUAUUUGUUUCAUCCCUCUCAAAAGUGUUAUUGGAAAAAUCACCAUUGGCAAUAGCUAAGUCAAAAGCACAUUCUAUUUCACCUAACACGUGAUGCAAUAUUUCUGACUCCUGGGUACCAUUACGAUUCACUACCGCCACUUCCUCCCUGAAGACAACAUUUGGGCCAGGCAUACGAACAAUUUCAACUAUAACCUCCAAACAUGCAACAUUUGAUUCGUGAACUACAUCCUUGUAGUGCUUCCAAUUUGAAUCGGAUGGCAAGUUCAUGAGAACAUAAUGAGCUCUAGCUUUCCCACAAUCAAAACGACCUCUCAAACUCAUCUCAUACACUCUACAUCCAUACUUCAUCAUUGCACGAUCAACUAAAUCAGUAAAACUUGGAGGACUCUCGAAGAAUUCAAUUUACUCAUUCAUAUUCUCUAACUCCCCAUUUUGUUUCACAAUACCACCAUAAAAAAAUCGAACUAAGUGAUCCAUCUACAAAAUACAAACAUUUCACCAUGUCAUAUACACUACACAUUGCACAUAUUCGACAUAUAAACUCGACACAUUCCUUAUAUUGGACAAAUUGCAAAUAAAAAAUAUACAUGUCAUGUACACUACACAAUUGGAUGAACAUAUUGUUGACGCCAGAUUUCGUCACUAGUAAAAUCGGCGCCAAGAAGAGAGGGAAUCGGAGAAGCACAGUUGGGAAUCGGUCGAAUGAUGCUAUAGUGCGAGAUCGGCCGAUGACUUCUGUCUCGCUUCGGGUCGGACGUGCUGGGGUCCCAAUCGGUUGCCUUUUGCCGAUAAGGAAUCAACCGAUUAGGAGGAUGGGUUAAUUGGGCCUGUAUGGGCUUGGAAAGGAAUAAAAGGAUGGGGUGGAGAUUAGCCCAUGAAGCGUAGAGUAACCAACCUAGCACAAAUCAUGCUUGUAAAUAUUCGUUUUCUGUUUGAAUUAGGGAUAGAAUUCUAGUCGGUUAAGAAGUCAUCUGUACGGGCCAAUAAAUAGCUACCUUUGUAAAUCUGUAAUCAUCAACAAAUCAAUACAACAAGCUACUUUUUCCUCGUACUUACUUUCAAGCAGGCGACUUCGCCAUUACUUUCUUCUUUUUCACAAGUUCGUGCGGGUUGGCAGGGCUGCAUCAUCUUGAUCUCCGGCCGAUUCUGUAAGUUCCGCUUAUCGAGUAAUAUCUAAGCUUUAACUUCGGGCGUAUCGCUGUUGUUUCGUUUAGAUUUAUUCACUAGUUAUCGAUAUUUACUAGAAUCAUAGGGUUUUGCCUGUUGUUCUAGUUUUAUCACCAGUUAUCCAGCUAGGAAUCGGUAGUUUCAGCUCUCUUUAUGUUCUGUUAUUAAAUUCAUCUAUUGCCGAUUAGAUCUGUUCCUAGUGUUGUUACCUUAGCUUUGUGUCGAUUACUCUAGUGGUUUUCUGUCUACAAGGCUACAGUGAUCGGCAGCCUUAUAGCCGAUUUCUUUAUUACGGCAAAUCGGCCGAUUCGCUGAUAAGCUCUCUCGAGAUCGGAAAUUAAGCCGAUCGUGAUUUCUGGACCUGACACGUAUUCUUCCUUGCCAAUCAACAGGUCAGAUUGGCUGGCACGCCGCGCGAACCGCACCAGGGCAAUCACCCGAACAGGAGUUAAAGCAGAUUCUCCCGGGUCGUGUGUCGGACGCUGGGAUUCGAUUGACCGAUUUCUAGCGCCAACACACUUUUGGCACGCUCGGUGGGACCAAUACAACCGCCAUUAUGUCGAAAGCUGUUGAAGUCUCCGAAGAUAACGUCAUCGAAGUGACGGAAGCAGAUCUGAAGGACGACCAGAAGGAAGAAUUGGACAAGUAUACGGCACAGUUCCGGAAAGCUUGCCUACAGUCUUUCAGUCGCUCCAGAAGCGGGGAGACUAUCAAGAAGACUCCGUUCCCUGCUCCCCGCCAAAUCACGAUUUCUGAGGACUCGGACAAAAUGACCGAUAUGAUUCAACAGUCCAUUUAUCACGCCUUCGUUGAUCAGUCCCCGGUACUUUCAAACAUGGUGCACAACGCCGUAGUCAACUCCUUCGCUGGUGGGAUACCUCAAGGAUACAGGGGACUGACAUAUUUUCAGCCGAUUCCACCAAACCAGAAUUACUCGAAUUCGGUUUCACAGCCGAUCCAAUUUUCUGUCGGGGGUUCAGGUGCUUCCUCAUCAUCAGCUCCUAUGGGGUAUAACUCCAUCCAACUGUCUUCUGCACCGUUCCCUCCAGUUAGCCCAUCACCCUGGGGGGCACCUUCAGCCACGGUCGGUCAGAAUCAAUCGGCCAGUCAAGGGAACCCUCCAUUCUAGGCAUCUUUCCAGGCGGCCACUCGGCCGACCGUACCGCCAUACCAGCCUGUCGCUCCAGAGGUCAACAAGACAGCAGAGCUCAUGCUAUAUGAUGAAAUGAGUGGCUCAUUCAAACAGCCGAUGUUCAAUACGCAACCGGCUUUCAAUCAGAUGCCACCUGCUUUCACUCAGCCUCAGAUUAUUCCGCCUCCGGUUUACCAACACGUGCCGAUACCUCAGCCAACGGUUCACCAGCAACAACCAGAUUGGUCUGCACGUAUUGCGGAGGUGAUGCUAGAACAAUUCGGCCUAAAGCUGAAAGUACAAACUUACACCUACAGAACACCAUACCCGUCUACAUAUGACCUAUUGCCGUUUCCCCAUCGGUAUAAAGUUCCUGACUUCACUAAGUUUUCGGGGAUGGAUGACACUUCGACCCGUAGAGCACGUGAACAGAUUCAUCAUCCAAUGCGGGGAGGCAGCUACGCAGGAUACCCUACGGGUACGGUUGUUCUCUUCAUCUCUGUCUGGUUCGGCCUUUCAAUGGUUCACGACAUUGCCGCCAAACUCGAUUAUCACAUGGGCCGAUUUAGAAAGACAGUUCCACAAAUACUUCUACGCCGGGGUGCAUGAGAUGAAACUGUCCGAUUUGACCAGCCUCAGGCAAAGAAGUGAUGAGCCGAUAUCCUCGUAUGUACGGAGGUUUCGGGAAAUCAGGAAAAAGUGCUAUUCCCUGGCUCUAAACGACGCACAGUUGGCCGAUAUAGCUUUUCAAGGCCUUCUCCCCCACAUCAAAGAAAAAUACGCCUCACAAGAGUUCGAGAGUUUGAGCCAGAUUGUCCACCGAUUGUCUGGACAGGAAGUACGUUCCUUCGAUCCACGAAGGAAUUUCCAGAAGAAAGUGGCGUUCCUGGAAGAGUUAGAGAACGAGGAAGACGUUGAAGUCGGACUUGCGGAGUGGAUCAAGGGAAAGAAGCCGAUUUCAUGCCCAUUCGGCAAAAAGGAGCCAGAGGUGUUCGGUUUUGACACGACGAAAGCCGAUAAAAUAUUCGACCUUCUCCUCCAGGAAGGACAGAUUAAACUCUCGCCGUACCACACAAUACCUUCUGCCGAACAACUAAAAAAGAUGAAAUACUGCAAGUGGCACAAUGCCACAUCCCAUGAUACUAAUGAGUGCAAAAUCUUCAGGCAGCAGAUACAGUCGGCCAUUGAGCAGGGCAGACUUAAAUUUGAAGUGCCGACAAAAUCGGCCAAGCCAAUGAAGAUCGACCAGCACCCUUUCCCCACCAACAUGGUUGAUACCGGAAAGAAUUCACUCCAAACAAAAGUGCUGACGUCUGAAUCGGCUAAAAAGAGUGGCGCCGUUGACCCCAGAAAUCAAGCUACACCUGAAGAUGUCAAGGGGAAGCGGCGGAUGGAGGAUGACGAUGGCGAAUCAGAGGAGCCACGCAUCACUUCCCAGUUCCUGCUCUAGAAGUAUCAACGUCAGCAUGAACGCUCAAGGUCCCAGGAAGAAGCAAUACGGCGGCACGAAGAUCACUGGAGGUGCCCUUUCUUCAUCCACUGUUGGGAAAACAACAUCAGGCUACCUUCGGCCGAUAAUUGCCCAGAAUGCAACAGUCCAUAUCGUGGCAAUCGGCCAUUCAACAGGUCUCGCUCCAGAGACGGAAGGCCAGAACCGAUCAGCAGGAAUUGGCGCAACCAAGAUGACCAGCGCCCUCCCGUGCGUGAUCGGCUGGGGGGCAGAAGUGACCGAUACGAUCGGUCGGAAGACAGACACCAUGACAGGCAGGGGGGCAGGACUGAUCGGCAUGACCGGUCAGAAAACAAGGCCAACGUUCACAGCCGGCUCGAAGAGAUGGCCGAUGCUCGGGUGACAGAUGAAAACGCGUUAGGACGCGAACUGGAGUGGGAACGCGCCAAGUCAGGGGGAAGACCAAUAAACCCCAGGUGGUGUCCCGAUGGAUUGACCAAGUCUCAAAAAUGAAGAAUCCAACGUCUCCGCCAAUGGGAACAGCAAGAAGAGGAAUAACAGAGCACGACGGACAAGAAGGAAGGAAGGCCUCGGGUCUGGCGCCCCAAAAGAAACGAUAAAGGGGACGAUGGGUCGGGGGAUGUGUCGGCGAUAGAAGAACAGACGGCACAGUUGGCUUUGGAGCCAAUGAUGGCCACGUUCGAGAAGCCCGAAGAUGAUGAACGAUAGCACAUGAAGGCGUUGUUCCUUAAAGGGCAUGUUGACGGCCACCCCCUCACUAGAUUGAUGGUGGAUGGAGGAGCUGCAGUCAACAUCAUGCCAUACACCGUGCUCCGGAAGCUUGGAAAAAGCGACGACGACUUGACCAAGACAGACAUGAUGCUCAAGGACUUCGAGGGCAACGUGUCAACCGCUCGCGGCGCUCUCUGCGUCGACCUCACCAUCGGCAGUAAGACCAUUCCUACCACCUUCUUUAUUAUUAAUGGCAAGGGAUCCUACAACAUGCUACUCGGCCGGGAUUGGAUACACGCAAAUUGCUGUAUUCCGUCAACAAUGCAUCAAUGUCUCGUACAAUGGGUCGGUGAUAACAUCGAGGUAGUCAAAGCCGAUUCCGCAUACAGCAUCGCGACAGCCGACACGCAGCAGUGGAGCUGCGAAACCGUCAGGUGCAUAUCCGGCAGAGUGUGGGAGACCGAUUUCCUGAAGGUCACCGAUUUUGGCCUACAGCCGAUCCGAGCAGUCGGCUCCGAAGACUCAGAAUAGAUGGAUCAGUUCGCCCGAGAAGAUGGGAAGCUAGGGCACGGUUUCACGUCGGCCGAUUCAUUAGAAAUGAUAGACUUAGGCGAUGGUACUAAACCUAGGCCGACUUAUAUUAGUGCAAAUUUAGACCCAGAAUACAAGUGUAAAUUGACAAAUUUGUUAAAGGAAUUUAAGGAUUGUUUUGCUUGGGAGUACCAUGAGGUGCCCGGUUUAGACCGAUCUAUUGUUGAACAUCGGCUACCCAUAAAACCAGGGUAUCGGCCAUACCAACAGCCCGUACGGCGCUGCAAUCCUUAGAUUCUACCAGACAUAAAAGCCGAAAUAACUCAGCUAAUCGAAGCAAAAUUUAUUCGGCAAUGCCGUUAUGCCGAGUGGAUCUCCAACAUUGUACCAGUGUACAAAAAGAAUGGAAAGCUACGCGUUUGCGUUGAUUUCAGGAAUCUUAAUCAGGCCACACCGAUGGACGUUUACCCCAUGCCGACGGCCGAUGUACUGAUCGACGCCGCCGCAGGGCACAAGAUUAUUAGCUUCAUGGACGGAAACGCUGGUUACAAUCAAAUACUUAUGGCCGAAGAGGACAUACCCAAAACGGCCUUCAGAUGUCCAGGCCACCUUGGCUUGUUCGAGUGGGUGGUGAUGACUUUUGGCUUGAAGAACGCUGGCGCUACGUAUCAGAGAGCCAUGAAUUACAUAUUUCACAAGCUCAUUGGCAUUCUGGUGGAGAUCUACAUCGAUGACGUCGUAGUCAAGUCCAAAGGACAUGAAGAGCAUCUGGCCGAUUUGCGAAAAGUGCUGGAGUGCACCAAGAAACACGGGCUUAAGAUGAACCCCAAUAAAUGUGCUUUCGGCGUAUCCGCCGGACAGUUCUUAGGAUUCAUGGUGCACGAGCGAGGGAUUGAAAUCAAUCGGAAGACCAUAGCGGCCAUCAACAAAGUCGUGGCCCCACAGAACAAAACCGAAUUGCAAUCUUUAAUCGGCAAAGUGAAUUUCAUCAGAAGAUUCAUAUCUAAUCUAUCUGGGCGGAUUCAGGCGUUCACGCCACUGUUGAAGUUAAAGCCUGACCAGGAAUUUAUACGGGGGGAAGAGCAGCGCAAAGCACUGGAAGAUAUCAAGCAAUACUUGGUCUCGCCACCAGUAUUGGUUCCUCCUCAGACUGGUAAGCCCUUCAAGCUAUAGUUAUCAGCCGAUGAAAAAGCUAUUGGGUCGGCUCUAGUCCAGGAGUUCGAAGGCAAGGAACGGGUGAUUUAUUAUGUCAGUAGAAGACUUCUGGACGCUGAAACAAGAUAUCCUCCAGUGGAGCGGUUGUGCCUAUGUCUUUACUUCUCAUGCACUAAACUCAAGCACUAUUUACUGUCGGCAGAAUGCGUGGUCGUAUGCAAAGAGGAUUGUUGGGGGGAAAUAUUAACGAUCCCCUAAACAACAUUUAAGGAAGCAAACGCAGAAGGCCCAGGCCCACCAAGACGUAAUUAAAGCUCCGCCUCGCCCGAUCAAGACGCCAGGAUCGGGAACGGCCGACCCCCCUCCGCAAGGUGUCCGCCUCGCCCGACCGCGACCCCAGGGUCGGGGGCGCCCGACCCUGUGCCACGAAAGUUCCGCCUCGUCCGACCCCAAGCGAAGGAAUCGGGCACGCUGGGGCCCACGGGGCUGGGACCCCCCUCGGAUGCGGUCCACAUGAGCAAGACAGACAAAAUCUUGUGGGUCCCCCCGUCGGCCUCGCCAUAAAUGCGCCGCGGGUCUGGCAGAGGGCAGGGCGACUGCGCCCCUCACGCAACCCGGCGCAAGUACCUGUGCACGACCGCCCUGUGCAGGCUACAAUGCCGGCGGCCGGCUCCCAUUCGCCGCAGGGUACUCAUGGCCUGUGCCGACCGAAGCAAAGGAGAGAGCAGCCAGUCCUCGGGCCCCGUACGCCCUCGGGUCCCGCGCACCCAGCAGUACGAAUGUGACGCUAUCCCUCUCAACAGCCAUCGCCUGAGCAGCGGCAUCCACCGUCCUCCCUAACGGACGCUGGGGUAACGACGGGACACCCUCAUCAUGAUCUGAUACCUACGAGCGUCGAAGUAGCUAUCUGCAGGGAGCAACAACACUUGGCACCCGGCGACCUCACCCUCCAGCAUGCACGCCGGCACGCGUCUAGGGUCGGCAGGGCAUCGGACGCCUAGGAUCUCGCUCCUCCUUCCUGCCAUACCUCUUACCUUUUUACGCUUUACUCUUUACAAACCUUUUUACCCGAUCCCAAUUGUAACUCCGGCCAUCCCCUUGCGAUAUAAAAGGAGGAACCCAGGGCCGGGGAUGGGGGACCGAGGGAUCAGCUUCUUCUCCCACACACCAUAGUACACUACCACUCUUCCUAAGAGCACGAAAACCAAAGAGAUUUGGGACCGGUCCCUCUCUCGCCAAUCUGUAACCCCCUACUACAGAACCCCCGCGUGGGCAACACGAGCAUCCGCGAUACUGGACGUAGGGCUUCCUUUGCCCGAACCAGUCUAAAUCUGUGUCUCCCACGCAACCAUCUGAGGCUCACGCGCAUAAAAGAAAUUUACUAGUCUAAGUCUUGAUCCGCUGAUCUUGACAACGACAUUUGGCGCGCCAGGUAGGGGACCUUUGCGCGUGCAUCUCCAGCCUCAGAUGGCCAAUCGCGAUAGCGGCUUUGCUCCGGGCUCCCUUAUCCGUUUCGGGAGCCUGGACUUCCUGGCCACCGGGGAAGGGAUCGAGCUGAUCCCUGUCCUCGUCCUUCCCGCUCGUCCCGCUGCCCUCGGCCCCGCCGCCAGGACGGCGGCGAGCGGCCGGUCGCCUACCAGAAGGACCUCACCAGAAGGAUGGCUCUUCGGGCUACGCAACGCCACGGGGGCUCACGGUCGCCUCCUAGCGCGGUCCUUAACCACGUCGCCCGCGAGCAACGAGCUCGUGGGCGUGGCAAGGACAAUCUCCGACACUGGCUCCAGUAACGACAGUCCCCGCCCCUCGCGCGAGUGCUUUAUGGUUGACGCGCACUCCGAGGGGUCCAAUGGCGAUGGUGCCGAGGGGAGGCAACGGGCUCCCCCCUCGCGCGCCGCCGCUACAACUGGGGCCCUACCCAGGGCCCCAGAGUGCUCUCAGCAACCGGAAGCGCACGUGGGCGCUCGCCAAGAAGUAGAGCACCCCCACCACGAGGGGGGAGCGCGACAACGGGCGCGCGACGUCCAGGAACGCAUCUGUGCGGAUGAAGAGCGUCCGUCGUUCUUUGCCCGCGCUAGCCAGAACGUCGCCGCCGCGACGGUGUUGCUCCGACAGCUCCCCGAGCCAGCGACGCCCGAGGAGCGACGGGCACGCCAAGAAAUGCGCAACCUGCUUGAGUGCGCCGCCGUCCAGCAGGCGGAAAGUUCAGGAUCUCGGCGACGCGGGCAGAACGCCAGCCGGGCAAUGCACGGCGCACCCCCGGAACGGCGGGGGGAAUCUGUCCAUCAGCCCCCUCCGGAAGCAAAUCAGGCCACGUCCGCCCGACGAACUCCGCCACCCGCGGUAGGCGAGGCUCGAUCCGUCCACCAACGCGUCAGUCUCGUCCGCGACGCCCGCGACACCCUGAACGCGCGGAGACGCUCCCGCGCGGACAGGGAGGACGGGGCAGAUCGAGUCUACCACGUCCACCGUGGCGGGCGCUACGACAGCGGGGAAGACUGCAGUCCGAGCCCCGGAGCAGCCGGACCUCUGGCCUUCUCCACGCGCAUCCUAAAUGCGCCCUUUCCGCCGCGCUUCAGGCAACCCACGAGUGUAGCCAAAUACUUGGGGGAGACAAAUCCUGGAGUAUGGCUCAGCGAUUACCGGCUUGCAUGUCAAGCUGGCGGGGCGGACGAUGACCUGUUCAUCAUCCGCAACCUACCCCUCUUUCUGGCAGACUCCACGCGGGCCUGGCUGGAACAUAUCCCUGCAGGACACAUCCGCAACUGGAAUGACCUGAAAAAAGUUUUCGUAGGAAACUUCCAAGGGACGUACACACGCCCAGGUAACUCCUGGGAUCUCCGGAGUUGCCGCCACGGGGCGGACGAGUCCCUCCGGGAUUACAUCCGGUGCUUCUCCAGAAAGCGCACCGAGCUCUCCAACGUCGCCGACGCCGACGUCAUAGGAGCCUUCCUAGCGGGAACCUCUUGCCGGCCCCUCGUCCACGAGCUAGGGCGACGAGGCCUGCGAACCACGGAAGAGCUCCUCAACAUCACCACUAGCUAUGCCUCUGGCGAAGAGGCUGUCGGAGCGAUCUUCGAUCGUUCCAAGGGCAAGGCGAAAUGGGAGGAGGACGCCGACGAAGGCACCUCCAACCGCCAGCAGAAGAAGAAGGGCAAGCAGCGGCGCGAGGCCCCCCUCGUGGCCGUGUUCGAACGCAAGCGAGGGCAGCCGCCCCCCGAAGGCGCUCCCGGCUUCUUCGACAAGCUGCUCGAGGGACCGUGCCCGAACCACGAGUUCCCCGUCAAGCACGCCUACAAAGACUGUAACCUCAUGAAGAGGUUCUUUGUGGGCAAUUUGGUGAAGGGUGACCGGAAGCGGAAACCCAACGAGGAAAAGAAAGGCGACGAAGAGAAGGAAGACGGCUUCCCUAAAGUUGACGGCUGCUUCAUGAUCUUCGGGGGCUCCGCAGCGUAUGACACCAAGCGCCAGCAGAAGCUGGAGCGCCGGGAGGUCUACGCGGCCGAGCCUGCGACUCCGGCCUUCCUCGAUUGGUCCGGACUGGCCAUCACCUUCGACAAGUCCGACCACCCUGGACGCGUCCGGCAUCCAGGGCGCUACCCUCUCGUCGUCGACCCCAUCGUCGGCACGACGCGUCUCACCAAGGUACUCAUGGAUGGGGGCAGCGGCCUCAACCUCCUCUACGCUGAGACCCUCGAUGCCAUGGGGAUCGAUCACUCCCGUCUCCGUCCUAGCAAGGCACCCUUCCACGGCGUCGUGCCAGGGAAGCAAGCGACGCCUCUCGGGCAGAUCAACCUGCCCGUCACGUUUGGGACCCCUUCCAACUACAGGAAGGAGGUCCUCACCUUCGAGGUGGUAGGAUUCCGCGGAACCUACCAUGCCAUCUUGGGACGGCCGUGAUACGCGAAGUUCAUGGCCAUCCCCAACUACACCUACCUCAAGCUCAAGCUGCCGGGGCCCAACGGGGUCAUCACCGUCGGCACAACCUUCCAGAAGGCAUACGAGUGCGACGUGGAGUGCUGCGAGUACGCCGCGGCCGUCACCCUCUCGAGCAACGUGGCGGUCCAGCUUGCGGAGGCGAUCGAGAACCAGCCCGACGCCAAGCAGUCAGGUACCUCCUUUGAGCCCACCGAAGGUAUCAAGGAAGUCCCUCUCAACCCCGGCAGUAUCCCCCAAAUAGGAAAGCGCGCUCGUCGACUUCCUCCGCGCGAACAGCGACGUCUUCGCAUGGAAGCCCUCGGAUAUGCCAGGCAUCCCGAGAGAAGUCGCCGAGAAUUCCUUGAACAUCAGGGCCGGCUCUAAACCAGUGAAGCAAGGCUUGCGCCGUUUCGACGAAGAAAGGCGCAGAGCCAUUGGUGAAGAGCUCCAGAAGCUCCUGGCGGCCGGGUUCAUCAAGGAAGUACACCACCCCGAGUGGUUGGCCAAUCCUGUUCUUGUACCGAAAAAGAACGGGAAAUGGAGGAUGUGUGUCGAUUAUACCGGUCUCAACAAAGCGUGUCCAAAGGAUCCGUUCCCUUUGCCACGCAUAGAUCAAAUAGUCGACUCAACCGCCGGGUGCGAAACUCUCAGCUUCCUCGAUGCAUACUCCGGCUAUCACCAGAUCGCGAUGAAAGAGGCCGACCAGCUCGCUACCUCCUUCAUCACCCCCUUUGGCCCCUACUGCUACGUUAAGAUGCCGUUCGGCCUCAAAAACAUGGGGGCUACCUUCCAGCGAUGUAUGCUUAAGUGCUUCGGAGAUCUCAACGGGCGGACCGUUGAGGCCUACGUCGACGACAUCGUUGUCAAAUCCAGGAAGGGCGAUCAGCUCGUUCCCGACCUGGAGCUAGCCUUCGAAAGGCUGAGGGAUAAGCGUAUUAAGCUUAACCCCGAGAAAUGUGUGUUCGGUGUCCCAAGGGGCAUGCUAUUAGGCUUCAUCGUCUCCGUGCGCAGCAUUGAGGCGAACCCGGAGAAGAUAGCGGCCAUCAGCGACAUAGGGCCGAUCCGGAACAUAAAGGGAGUAUAGCGCGCCAUGGGGUGCUUAGCAUCCCUAAGCCGCUUCAUCUCGCGCCUCGGCGAGCGAGGACUUCCUCUCUACCAGCUCCUGAAGAAAUCCGACCACUUCGAGUGGACCAGCGAGGCACAGGAGGCACUUGACCGACUCAAGGACCUCCUGACGAAGGCCCCAAUUCUAGUUUCGCCGGCCGACGGCGAGACCCUUCUGCUCUACGUCGCGGCGACCACCCAGGUGGUCAGCGCGGCCCUAGUAGUGGAGCGGGAGGAAGAGGGGCACGCUCUUAAGGUGCAACGCCCGGUGUACUUCAUCAGCGAAGUAUUGUCCGAGUCCAAGGCACGAUAUCUGCAGAUCCAGAAGCUCGUCUACGCCGUCCUCAUCACGAAGAGGAAGCUGCGUCACUACUUCACCUCCCAUCCGGUAACGGUCGUCUCUUCGUUCCCGCUUGGUGAAGUAAUCCGGAACCCAAAUGCAACAGGAAGGAUCGCGAAGUGGGCGCUUGAGCUUAUGGAUCAGGGUAUCACCUACGUCCCCCGCGAUGCCAUCAAGUCCUAGGUACUUGCCGAUUUCGUGGCCAAGUGGACAGAGGUACAAGCACCGCCGGCGACAGAAGAGCGGGAGUACUGGACGAUGUACUUCGACGGGUCGCUGAUGAGGGCCCGCGCCGGAGCAGGCCUCGUCUUCGUCUCUCCGUUGGGCGUACGCAUCAGGUACAUGAUCCGCCUCCAUUUUCCUGCAUCCAAUAAUGUCGCUGAGUAUGAAGCCCUGCUCAACAGGCUCCGCAUCGCCAUCGAGCUUGGCAUCCGUCGACUAGACGUCCGAGGCGAUUCCCAGUUGGUCGUCGAGCAAGUCAUGAAGGAAUGGAGCUGCCAUGACCCUAAAAUGGCCGCCUACUGCAACGAGGUCCGUAAGCUCGAGGACAAGUUCGACGGGUUGGAGCUCAACCACGUCGCAAGGCGCUUCAACGAAGCCGCUGAUGAGCUAGCGAAGGCAGCAUCCGGCCGGAUGCCCGUCCCCGACAGCGUUUUCGUUAGCGACCAGCUGAAACCUUCGAUCCGUUAUCUAGAGCCAGCAGGGGUCGGCGAGGCAUGCCCAGCCCUGGGGUCGGGACCCGAGCCGGGGGAGGUCAGCAGCGCGCCACCUGUCCUGGACCCGAGCACCGAUCCCGACGGAAUCAACGCUGCCCUACCCGACCCGGCCCUGGAAGCCAAGCCCUCCGACCCCGUGGUUAUGGAAAUCAAGGCGGGCCCUGCGGCGGGGGCCGACCCCACGACCGACUGGAGAGCCCCGUACCUCGACUACCUUGUCCACGACACGCUCCCAGCAGACAAAACCGAAGCCCGCAGGAUCGCGCACCGUGCGAAAUCCUUCACCAUCAUCGACCAGGAGCUUUACAAGCGAAGUCACACUGGGAUCCUCCAGCGCUGCAUCCCGAUCGAGCAGGGAAAGGCGCUGAUCCAGGAUAUCCACGCCGGGGCUUGUGGUCACCACGCUGCGCCAAGGACACUUGUUGGCAACGCCUUCCGACAGGGUUUCUACUGGCCAACCGCGGUCGCGGAUGCUACCCAGGUAGUCCGCACCUGCGAAGGAUGCCAGUUCUUUGCCCGCCAUACCCACCUGCCCGCGCAGGCGUUGCAAACCAUCCCCAUCACAUGGCCGUUCGCGGUCUGGGGGCUGGAUCUCGUCGGACCCUUCAAAAGGGCGCCCGGGGGCUUCACCCAUCUACUCGUUGCUGUUGACAAGUUUUCCAAAUGGAUCGAAGCAAGGCGUGUGGCGCAAAUCAGGUCCGAGCAAGCGGUACAGUUCUUCACCGACAUCAUCCACUGCUUCGGGAUCCCAAACUCCAUCAUCACCGACAAUGGCACACAGUUCACUGGGAAGAGAUUCCUCCAGUUCUGCGACGACCACCACAUUCGAGUGGAUUCGGCGGCAGUGGCGCACCCCCGCACGAACGGGCAAGUCGAGCGAGCCAAUGGCAUGAUACUUCAGGGUAUCAAGCCACGGAUCUUCGACCGCCUUAAAAAGUUCGGUGGACGAUGGGUUGCGGAGCUCCCAGCAGUCCUCUAGAGCUUGAGGACAACCCCCAGCCGGGCGACAGGGUUCACCCCGUUCUUCAUGGUUUACGGGUCAGAGGCCAUCUUGCCCACCGACUUGGAGUAUGGGUCACUGAGGGUCAAAGCAUACGACGAACAGGGAAACCAGGCGUCACUCGAGGACGCACAAGACCAACUCGACGAGGCGCGAGACGUAGCCCUGCUACACUCAGCUAAGUACUAGCAGGCCCUACGACGUUACCACAGCCGCAGGAUACAAGGCCGCGCCUUCAACGUCGGAGAUCUAGUGCUCCGCCUCGUCCAAGAUAACAGGGGUUGGCACAAGUUGACUCCCCCAUGGGAAGGCCCGUUCAUCGUCGCACAAGUGCUACGGCCAGGCACCUACAAGCUGGCAACUCCCGACGGGCAAAUCUUCAGCAACGCCUGGAACAUAGAACAGCUAAGGCGCUUCUACCCAUAGCUCUCAUUUCCAAGUUAUGCAUAGUCUUGCCGUCUUUUCCGUUCUUUCGUUUAAGCUCAGGGGUAUCCGACCCUGGCCUCGUUCCAGGGUCGCAUACCCCUCGGGGGCUACCAGUUUUGUUCUUCUGCGAAAAAAGAAACCCUGAGCCACCUUGGCUCAGGUCCUUUCGUUUAAAGCUCAGGGGUAUCCGACCCUGGCCUCGUUCCAGGGUCGCAUACCCCUCGGGGGCUACCAGUUUUGUUCUUCUGCGAAAAAAGAAACCCUGAGCCACCUUGGCUCAGGUCCUUUCGUUUAAAGCUUAGGGGUAUCCGACCCUGGCCUCGUUCCAGGGUCGCAUACCCCUCGGGGGCUACCAGUUUUGUUCUUCUACGAAAAAAGAAGGCCUUUUCUUUUAAGCUCAGGGGUAUCCGACCCUGGCCUGGCUCCAGGACCGCAUACCCCUCGGGGGCUAUCAGGGGUCCCGACCCCAGCCGCUGGGCACCGUCUAAAAAGAAAACGCUUUUUCUUUUUUCAAAACCGAACACUCCCUUUCGAAAACCUUUGGAUGCAAAAAGAUAAGGAUGCGUGAACGGUACUUAGGCAAGUUGCGAUCGGACUGCGAAAAAGCCUACGCCCCAGCGGCUACGGUACCUUCGCUCAUCAAAAACUUACUGACGCACCCGGCAACGCAUCCUAAAGCUUUCAAGACCGAAGGAAUAACAAAGGGAAUCGGUUUGUUUCAUGCAAACGAAGAGUCAUAAGAACAGGCCCGUAUGGCCAAACGCGAAACAAGUUCAAAAGACUAUUAUAAGUACAAACUUUUUUCGGGCGCAAGCCCGGUACAACUAAUUCGCAGGAGGGUCGGCUGGAGCAGUGGUUUCGGGGUCGGCUGAAGCAGCGGCUUCGGGGUCGGCAGGAGCGGCGGCUUCAGGGUCAGCAGCAGCGGCGGCCUCAGGGUCAGCAGGAGCGGCCUCAGGGUCGGCAGGGGGGACGGCUUCAUCCUCCAGGAGCUUCGCGAGGGCCUCCGCCGGCGCGGUCACCCCGGCGUCGAUCUCGUCCAGCUCGGCUUCGGUGUAGCCGGCGCAGUACCCUUCACUCAUCCCGACAAAAUUAAUGUCAGAAUAGUGAGAACCGAAGACCCCGAAGGCGCGCCGCACACCAAGGCGAAGCGCGUCCACGGCGAUCUCACGACGGCGACGGCGCACCUCGAGGACACGAGCUGGCAGAGAGCUCGAUCCCUCCUCCGGAGCUACGCCGAAAUCCUCGCAGAUGACGCAGACCGCAUCUCACAAGGCGCCAUGCUCGCCGCGCUCCUCGUCGAGCAGAGCCCGUAGCUUGGCAAUCUCACCUGCAGGAGUCACCCAGAAAACCCCACCGAGUCAAAAGAGCGGAAGACAAACGACACAAAAACGCAGGAGCGGAAAGAGCCUCACCGUCGGCUUGGACCUUCAUCUCGCGCUCCCGGUCGGCGUUGCGGGACAAGGCGGACUGGAGGCCCUGCACUUGCAAACGGAGUUGAUCGUUCUCCGCGCGGAGGGCUCCACCCUCCCCUCUCAGCCGCGCCAGCUCCUCGGCGUCGCGGCGGGCCCUCUCAGCAGUAGCGGCUUUGAGCCCCUCGGCAUCGCGGCGGGCCCUUUCCACGGCGGCCUGGAACUCCUCGAGGUCGAGGCGGGCCUUCUCCGCGACGGCCUGGAGCCUAGCCUCUGCACGCCGCGCCCCCUCCAGUGCCGCCUGCUCACGACCCUCCAGAUCGCGGACGGCCCCCUGGGCAGCGCCAAGCUGCAGGGACAGAUCCCUGGUGCGCUCCCUCUCAGUGUUGUAGUGCUCCCAGAGGCUCCGCUGCCGUCGGAGGAAAUCAGAUUUCUCCCGGCUGCCCUCUUGGAGAGCCUGCAAAGCAACAUGCCGUUAAAACAAAAAAGCAAAGAGGAGGUACUCAUCACCAAGCGGCAGGAAUAACAUACCUGGCUGCCAGGGACCACGGCGUUGGCCAAAACUCCCAGCGCCGAGGUCAGAGCCGCCUGAACCUGGGCAACGCCGCCGUGCAGCGCAUGCCACCUAUGCCACUCGGCGGCGUCAUCCAGCGCGUAGAGACGCCUCGGCGGGUCAUCGCGGGAUGCCCAGCGGAGGACGGGCCCUCUCCACGCCCUCGGGACGGAGGAAGCCGAGGGUGGGGCAGGGGCCGACUCUGAUGUCGCCGUCAAGGACGGCAUCACGACGCCAGAAACCCCUGGAUCCGCCGACGGCCCCGGCACCUGCACGCUCGUCGCCACCGAGGCCGCUAACGGCACCCCUGUGGGCACCUCCGCCUCAGCCACCGGAGUUACUCCCGCAAGGGUGACCAGGGCGGAGGCCCCUGCCUCUGUCACCACCGCCUCUGCCGCCGCCGCGUCUCUGGGAGCAAGCGCCCCCUCUGCCUCUGACCCCGCCAUGGCAGCGGGGGCAUCCGCCCUGCCCCCCGUCGUCACCGCCUCUUCCGCCUCGUCGGCGUUGAGGUCGAUCACCUCCCCGGCUUGAGGGCCCGGGGGGAUCAUGCCCCAAGCCGGAGGGGUGAUCAGUGGGGCCACAGGCGGAGUGGAGUCCGCUCCCCCUCCUGCGGCUGACUCCGCCGCCGUUCCGCCAGCCGACUCCGCAGGGGCCACCUCCGCGGGGGGACCUGCGGCCACACCAGGAACCCCACCGCUCGCCGCUGGCGGGGCCAUGGCCCGCCCCCCGGAGGAGGUCAACGUCCACAGCGCCUACUUGGGCGCCAGCUGCAGGGUGACGCCACGGGGAGAAGUGCUGCACGUCGACGGCCAGGCGUCAGCAGAAACAAACGAAAAAAGAGAGGAAGGAUGACACAUAGGGAAAGUCAACUUACGCCCUCGAAGCGCAGGGGCGGCGCGCACGCUUCGACUCGGAGCCGGAUGCCGACCCCGGGGCAUCUGGCAGUGGCCGCUUGUCGCCACCUCGUUGCCCUCCACCAACAGGCACGGCGGCGGAGGCAGUCCCCACGGAUGCCCGAAGAGCGCCCCGAGCGGACUCCUGGGGAGCGUCCCGCGCCGGACCCGAGGCAGCGGCAGGGGCAGGCUCUCAAGGCCCCUGAGGGGUGCUCCGUGUCGGCACCGGGGCGGCAUCCCUUGCCGACCCCGAGGGAGCGACCCGCGCCCGCUCCUGGGGGACGCCCUGUGCCGACCCCGGGGGAACGUCCCGCGCCCGCUCCAGGGGGACGCCCUGAGCCGACCCCGAGGGGGUGCCCCGCGCCCGUUCCUGGGGGAGGCCCUGCGCCGACCCCCGGGGAGCGUCCCGCACCUGCUCCCGGGGGACGUCCUGCACUGCCCCCUGAGGAGCAGUCCGCGCCGGCCCCUGGGGCGCGCGCUGCGCCGACCCCUGAGGGGCGGUCCGCGCCGGCUCCUGGGGCACGCGCUGUGUUGGCCCCUGAGGCACAGCCCCAAGGCCCGGGGGAGCCGGACCCCGGGCGGACGCUCCCGCCGCUGCACCCCCCGCAGCCGUCUGCGGGGGUGCGUCGCGAAUCACCAAAGCCCCCGAUCGGGGGGCAACCAGCUCUUCCUCCUCCUCCUCUUCCUCUUCCUCUUCUUCUUCUUCUUCUUCUUCUUCUUCUUCUUCUUCUUCUUCUUCUUCUUCUUCUUCUUCUUCUUCUUCAUCGUCGUCGUCGUCGGACACGACCGCCCCCCUCCGCCGCCGCUGGAGCUCCUUGGCGGCCUUCUUCCGCCGCCUCGCCGUCUCCUUGUCCUUGCGGCGCUUCUGCUCCUCGGCCCGGAGAUGGUUGCGAGCUCUCCGCUCGGCGUCUUCCGGCACCGACGGGAGGGAGUCCGCGACCCGGGUCAGCAUGCCCUGCGAAACGUAAAGCAGAUCCGCAUCAGAACAACAAAACAGCGGGACACAAGGAGGGAGAAACGGUGACCCAAACGCCUUACCAGGUCUACAAAGCCUGGCUCCGGGCGCAUCGGCGGAUGCCCGGGAAUCGGGUAGUCGACGUCCUUGUCCUCCAGCGCCUCCCGGAGCCGUUGCCGGAUCUCGGAGGCAGCGAGUGCACCCGUCGCCAGGGCAAUGCCCUCGGGCGGCGCGUCGGGGGUCAUGGCGCCAAGCGGCCGGGCCCGGAGCAUCAGCGGCGCCACCCGCCGGGAGUGGUACGCGCCGAUGACCCCGGCGCCGGUAAGCCCAUCCCGCUUCAGCUGCCCAAUGGCCUGCAGCAAGUCGGAGAUCUUCUUCUUCUCCAUCUCCACCAGCCCGUACGCCCAUACCUCGGGCGCCGCAUCGAUGGUGCGGCCGGUGAAGACCGGCAGGGGGGAGUUCAGGUAGUUCUUCACGUAGAACCACUAAUUGUGCCACCCCUUGUGGGACACCGAGGUCUUCACCGUCAUGUAUUCCUUGGAGCGAGUAUGACGGAGGUGGAUCCCGGCGCACCCGAUCGGCACCGGAGGCGACCGCUGCUGGCUCCCGGCCUUCCCCGCCUUCUGAUACAGGCUCACGGUGAAGAAGUACUUCCACAGCUUGAAAUGGGGCUCAAUGCCCAGGAAUCCCUCGCACAGUGCGACGAACGCCGCGAUGUGCUGGAUCCCGUUGGGGUUGAGGUGCUGGAGCUCGAGCCCGUAAUGGUGGAGGAGCCCGCGGAAGAAGCGGCUUGGGGGGGAGGCGAAUCCUCGCUCGUGGAAGUGGGUGAAGGAGACGACAUAGCCGGCAGGAGGCGACGGAACCUGCUCCGGCCCCGGCAGCCUCCACUCGUCUGCCUCCGUCCUCUCGCAGAGGAGCCCCUUCCGCACCAGGCCAUCGGCGCGAUUGGAGGUGAAGUGGGAAACUCCCCAGGAGGCCAUCGCCAGGAAAGGGAGGAGAUCGACGGAGGGGAAGACGAAAGCGCGCGGCGUGGAGCGAAGGGAACGAGGCGAGCGAGGCGAGUGCAGGUGAACUAAGAGGAAGGCAAGGAGGCUCGAGUGUGAAAGGAGAGAGGAACCGGCACGGUGAGCUCCUGCUUUUAUAGGAAAGGUACCGGGGAAGCCAAAUUGACGCCCCGGCCGCCAUAAAUGCGGCGCCAGGUACGCCCCUGCCACGCCCGUUUCCUUUUCGAAAACCGCGCGCACGAUCGGCCGCGAAAACAUCCUAUCUUCCUCGAUUCGUGGGACGGCACUUCCAUAACUCCACUUCCCGGGUACCGCGCCCAUGACGCCCCCCACGUUCGGCCCAGGCACACCAACCGCUCCGCUCCGGUCCAAGGCCCACAGGGAGGUAAGAAAGGGAUACGGGGCUGAAAACGCCCCUACGGCCCAGUAUGGUCCAGGGGUUCGAAAGCUGGCCCAACACGGGUUCGACAGCUGCCUCAGGGCAUCCCCCGAGCAAGGGGUGAGAAGGGAUGGGCCCGCUAGCGGCCAACACCCAGGCGAACGAACGCCAAGGGCGCCCCAACCUCACGUUCGAGUCCCGCUCGGUGUAGAGUUCAUGGUUUUUCCACGGGGAAAGGCAACGAGCCCUCAGAUCCGGUCGAACGGGUCUGAAAACUAUAUGAACUAACCGGCGGGAAAUUGGAGUACGCCACCAGCUUGGCCCAAGCCGGACCCCCCCGAACGGGGACCGGGACUCCACUCGAGCUUACCCGUUUGCAGCUCAAACGAGCACCACGGUUCGUCCAACGCGGAUAACGUGGCCCGGCUCAACCCCUCCGUCCUAGCGAACGGACGCUUGAGGGGCAACGAUCAAAAAAGUCGACCUAGCCUCCCGAUCGGUUUCCUGCAACGAGCGGGAGCUCGGGGGCUAGCCUCGCAACCAACUGCCACGCGUGUGGUCACAACUUGCAGGUUCUCACAAGCGUGGCUGAGAUAAAACAAGCACGCCAUAACACAAAACCCGCGGCAAAACAGCGAAAAAAGCCUCCGGAGGAGCACUCCUGCUCCACCACAGGCUCGGGGGCUACUGUUGGGGGGAAAUAUUAACGAUCCCCUAAACAACAUUUAAGGAAGCAAACGCAGAAGGCCCAGGCCCACCAAGACGUAAUUAAAGCUCCGCCUCGCCCGAUCAAGACGCCAGGAUCGGGAACGGCCGACCCCCCUCCGCAAGGUGUCCGCCUCGCCCGACCGCGACCCCAGGGUCGGGGGCGCCCGACCCUGUGCCACGAAAGUUCCGCCUCGUCCGACCCCAAGCGAAGGAGUCGGGCACGCUGGGGCCCACGGGGCCGGGACCCCCCUCGGAUGCGGUCCACAUGAGCAAGACAGACAAAAUCCUGUGAGUCCCCCCGUCGGCCUCGCCAUAAAUGUGCCGCAGGUCUGGCAGAGGGUAGGGCGACCGCGCCCCUCAUGCAACCCGGCGCAAGUACCCGUGCACGACCGCCCUGUGCAGGCUACAGUGCCGGCGGCCGGCUCCCAUUCGCCGCAGGGUACUCAUGGCCUGUGCCGACCGAAGCAAAGGAGAGAGCAGCCAGUCCACGAGCCCCGCACGCCCUCGGGUCCCGCGCACCCAGCAGUACGAAUGUGACGCUCUCCCUCUCAACAGCCAUCGCCUGAGCAGCGGCAUCCACCGUCCUCCCUAACGGACGCUGGGGUAACGACGGGGCACCCUCAUCAUGAUCUGAUACCUACAAGCGUCGAAGUAGCUAUUUGCAGGGACCAACAACACUUGGCACCCGGCGACCUCCCCCUCCGGCAUGCACGUCGGCACGCGUCUAGGGUCGGCAGGGCAUCGGACGCCUAGGAUCUCGCUCCUCCUUCCUGCCAUACCUCUUACCUUUUUACGCUUUACUCUUUACAAACCUUUUUACCCGAUCCCAAUUGUAACUCCGGCCAUCCCCUUGCGAUAUAAAAGGAGGAACCCAGGGCCGGGGAUGGGGGACCGAGGGAUCAGCUUCUUCUCCCACACACCAUAGUACACUACCACUCUUCCUAAGAGCACGAAAACCAAAGAGACUUGGGACCGGUCCCUCUCUCGCCAAUCUGUAACCCCCUACUACAGAACCCCCGCGUGGGCAACACGAGCAUCCGCGAUACUGGACGUAGGGCUUCCUUUGCCCGAACCAGUCUAAAUCUGUGUCUCCCACGCAACCAUCUGAGGCUCACGUGCAUAAAAGAAAUUUACUAGUCUAAGUCUUGAUCCGCUGAUCUUGACAACGACAAGGAUGUAGUGAAAUACAUGCUAUCACUGCCGAUCUUGAAAGGACGAAUCGGCAAAUGGAUCUUAGCAUUGUCAGAGUUUGACCUACGGUAUGAAUCGGCAAAAGCCGUCAAGGGUCAGGUCAUGGCCGAUUUCGUCGCCCAACACUGCGGACCAGAGAUUGCCCUCAUAGAGCCGGCACCUUGGACUUUAUAUUUUGAUGGGUCGUCAUGUGGGGUCGGAUCAGGAAUCGGCAUCGUUCUCAUAUCGCCUCGGGGGGCAAGCUAUGAUUUUUCUCUGCCGAUAGAAGCUACCGCUACCAACAAUCAAGCAGAGUACCGAGCUGUAUUGAAGGGCUUACAACUAUUAAGAGAGAUCAAGGCCGAGUCUGUUGAAGUCUACGGGGAUUCCAUGCUUAUAGUAGAUCAGCUGACCGGAAGAUCCGAAUGCAAGGACGAUGUGUUAAGAAUUUAUUACGAAGAUUGUUUACAGCUCUUAAAAGAAUUUAGAUCGGCAGUAAUCGAGCACAUCCCAAGGGAUCACAACGAGGGUGCCAACAAGCUCGCCCAGCACGUUAUCUGGAUAUCGGCCAAUUCUAGGCGAUAUGGCUCUAGAACUUGCGGCUGAUGACUAGCGAAAAGAAAUUGCCGACUAUCUGAAAGAUCCGUCUAAAAAGGUGGAACGACGAGUACGUUUUCAUGCUACUAAAUACGUACUGCUCGAAGACGACCUGUUCUACCGAACGAUCGACGGUGUCCUACUCAAAUGCCUUGGAACAGAGGAGGCCAAGACUCUGAUGGGAGAAAUACAUGAAGGGGUAUGUGGAGCACACCAAUCGGCCCACAAGAUGAAGUGGAUGAUCAGGAACAAUGGGUACUACUGGCCAACUAUCCUCGAAGACUGUUUCAAAUAUUAUAAGGGGUGCCAGGAUUGUCAAAAGUUCGGGAAUGUCCAGCGUGCACCCGUAUCGGCUAUGAAUCCCAUUAUCAAGCCGUGGCCGUUCAGGGGAUGGGGAAUAGACCUUAUCGGCCAAAUUUACCCACCAUCAAGCAAAGGGCACAAAUUUAUUCUGGUGGAUACUGAUUACUUUACCAAAUGGGUAGAGGCAAUUCCGUUAAGAGCUGUGACAUCGGCUAUCAUGGCCGACUUCGUAAGGGAUCACAUCGUCUACCGAUUCGGCAUCCCUCAGACUAUAACAACCGAUCAGGGAACAAUGUUCACAUCGGGGGAAUUUGAAGAAUUCACAACCGAUAUGGGAAUCAAAUUGUUAAAUUCUUCUCCGUAUUACGCCCAAGCCAAUGGUCAGGCAGAAUCCUCCAACAAAGGGAUAAUCAAGUUGAUUAAAAGGAAAAUUGAGGAAUAGCUAAAGAAGUGGCAUCUAUGUUUGACUGAGGCCCUAUGGGCGUACAGGAUGGCUUGUCAUGGGGCUACCAAGUUAUCCCCCUAUCAGUUGGUGUACGGUCACGACGCAGUACUACCAUGGGAAUCGAGGGCGGGAUCGAGGCGUAUUUCGCUCCAGGACCAGUUAACGGCCGAUGACUACUCGUCGCUUAUGAAAAGGGAACUUGAUGAUUUGGCUGGCCAAUGAUUGAGAGCUCUGAUAAGUAUUGAAGAAAACAAAAAGAAAGUAGCCAGGUGGUACGAUAAGAAGGUCAAAGUCAAACAAUUCUCCCCUGGGGACUUAGUAUGGAAGUUAGUAUUGCCGAUUGGGUCGAAAGAUCCUAAAUUCGGAAAAUGGUCCCCUACAUGGGAAGGGCCGUAUAAAAUCGGCAGAUGUGCUCCAGGGAAUGCUUACAUUUUGGAAACAAUAGAGGGAGAAGAAUUUACUAGAGCUCUGAACGGAAGGUACUUAAAAAGAUACUACCCCAGUAUAUGGGUCGGAGCAUAAGGAAUUAACCGUAACACGAUCACGCAUAGCCGAUACAAAGCGGUUCAAACACAUAGUCGUCCAAAUCGGCCGAUUGUAUUCAUUCGGUACGGGCGAUGGGUUACACGGCCGACAAAACACUAGUCGCCCUUAGAACAAAAAAUACAAAUAACUAAUUAUUCUUCUUCUUGCGCUCCCUCCCAGUCCGGUCCAACUCGUUCAUGAUGCGGAGGUAUUCUUCUUCUAUUUCUUUCAUUGAAGCCUCCGCUUCAACUUGACGAGGGAGAGGAUGACUCCGAUCCAUGGGCGGGCGCGAAGUUCCUGCCGCCGCGUCUUCAAGAACGACUCGCUGAGGAAGCGGAUGGCUCCUGUCGGUUGAAGAUUGCCGGCUACCAUUACUCUCCAAAAACUCCAAGACCACACGAGCCUCCGCGGUAACGUGGUCUCGAAGUUCGUCACGAUGGGCCCUGAUCAGCUCCUUAUCCUCUGACGACAAAGGGUCCUCAGAGUGUAUGAGCUCAAUGGUGCGUAUGAGCUCAGGGCUAAGACGUUGAGGCUGAAACAAAGAAAGAUUAAAAAGGAGGCAUCCUCUUCCUAAGAUCUAAAAGGAGAAAGGGGAGUCAAAGCCAAGUUUUCACCUGGUUGACAGAGGAGGAAGAAGUCGACGAAGACAUGACGGAAAGCCGUGCCGACGAGAGGAGUAAGAGAGUAGAACCGGAAGCCAAACUGGUACUAUCGGGAGGAAGUGCCUAGGCCGGUACUUAUAGGAAAAAGAGGCAUGGAAAUUUGGUAAGGAUACGUCCCAUCGGAAAUAAGAAAGGCAAUAAAUAGAAAGGGCGUCGCGAAGGACGGUCAAAGCAGAUAGUAAAUGUUCAUACAAAACAGUCAGUGUUUUACAGGUUACCCAGAAGGGUAUCGAUAGCCGUGAUUGCCCGGCGCCGGAUCUGAUCGGCAGAGUCCAGGACCCGUUGGUCGUCAUCCGCCGAUCCGGGGACUUCUGAUGUGCUGCGGUGGAGUUUCAGGGCCUCGUGGGCCAGGUGUUGCCUCUCCCGCUUCAAAUCGGCAAUGACGGACGGGAGUUCUUGGAGCCUUUUCUCUUCGACACUGAUUGCCUUGGUCACUUGCUCCAUCUCCUUGGCGAGCUCCGCCCUCCGACGCUUGAGGCGGUCUAUCUCACCGAUGAUCCCCGGGCGGGAGUCCUCCAGAAAAUGGAUACGCCGAUGCGCCUCUUGAGCUUGACGCUUGAACGCAUCCUCCUCUUCACGAGUCUUGGCCAGCUUGGCGCGAUCGGCCAUGUGACGAAGGGCUCUGAAGACCGGGAUCCUCAUAGACUCGAUGAAGGCCGCCGGCGCCAGGGCCUCCUCCGCCUCUUCUGGUACUCGUCCGCUGACGUCACUGAAGAGCUGCCGAAUCGGUGAAGCAUCUUCUACUAAUCGGCCGAUGUCCCCUUGAAGGAGGGAUCGAAUACUAGCAAGUUUGGCUCGGACGUCAUCAGGAAUGGAACUCAAGGCAACUUGGCGGGAAGCGACUUCUUCAUCGUCGAAGAGGGCAACCACAAAAGAGAAAAGGCUGUUGUCGGGGGUGUCUUGUUCCUGGAAAUAAUAAAAAGGAAAAAUAAAUUGGCUGGGAGUGGAAGCAAAUCGGCUGAGUAAAGCCGGAGUAUAACUUACCACUUUGAAACGAAUUUCUUCAUGGGAAGCCAUCACACCUUGCUCAGGGGCUUGCGCCAUGGGUUCAUCGGAAGAAGAAGACUCCACAACGAUCGGCGCGGUGCUUGGACCAGCUCCCUGAGAAAAGACCGGUAGUUGAGGAGCGCUUGGUGUGCCGAUGGCCUAUGUCAGAGAAUUGAAUAAGUACAUUAUGCAAAUACCAAGGAAAAUCGGUGAAAUAGUGCUAUACCUCAAUGGAUGGAAGCGGGGGCGCGUCGAUGGCCAAUUGGGCUGCUGCCGAUUGUUGAGAAUCCAUGGGAGUGCUCUGCGCAGUCUAAGUUAAGAAGAGUUAAUAUCAGAACAACAAUCGGGAGGAAUGAAACUUGGGAUUACCUGAAUGGCUUCUAACAGCAGUGACGCGGCGGCUGCCCCAGCUUGAGCGACGACUUGGGUAUCGGCAUCUUUAAUGGCCUGAGAGGGUGGUGCAGCUGGAGUCUCUGCCGAUACGAGCACAGGAGGAUCCGCCGAUUCUAUACGAGCUCGGACUCGGCGAACGGUCUUCUUGGCAAUCCUCUUCUGAACUUGUUUUGAUCGGCCAGCAAUCACGUCCACGGACGGAGCAUCAUAGCCGAUGAGAGGGUAAGAAGUGUAUGGAUGAUGACUCUCUAUUAGCCGUCCGCUCCGGCUGUGUGUUGGAGGUGUACGAUUCUCGGCCUGAAGAAAUAGUAACAUCAUUAGAGCUCAGUCACGUUAAGGGGAAUAAAAAUCGGCUAAGGAAAGUACCUCGGCGUUUGGGUCGAUGUUGGCUGGGUCCAGGAGGUUGCAGUAUGCCGAUGCCGAAUUGCAGAAGAGAAAUUGCUUCCAAUCGACCUACCAGAGUUUGAACGGCUGGACAGCAAAGGGAGCUGCUAUCCAGUUGCUCGGGUCAAUGGUGCUGGAGUCCGGAAUCCGGUCUCGUAUCCGACUGUAAUCCAGACCAGAUGUGAGCUCGUCUCUGAAUUUGAUUCGGCCAGCAAAAUACACUUGAAUCGGCAGCUGACCCAUGCCAAAUUGACGUGCUGCAACGGAAGGGUUGUAGAACUCAUACGUGAGGGCAUCUUUCCCUGAGAAGAAGUUGUUUGGCAAGAUUCUUGGCUUGAUUAACUCUUCGUUGAGCUCUUUGUCAAAACGGCCAGUGGUCGAAUCAAAGCAAGUUGGGAGUUCAAAGACCGGGUCGUCCCGCCGAUAAGGAAACCAAAUGGCUGCAUCUUCAUUAAAGCCAUUAUAGAAGCAUCGGAAGUACUCGGCCACCUUUGUAGCAGAAUAUGUGCAACUUGGAAAGGCUGAGGCCGCUUCACCAAAGGACAUGCAUCGGCGACGUUCGGUAGGGUCUUCCGCCGAUUCGAUGUUGGGGAACAUCAUACGGUCCACUCUCUGCUGAGUGAUCUCACUCAUGUAAAGGUUCAGCCACAAGUUGAUGAACCACCAGGGUCCGCCUGGAUUGCCGAUCGGCUCUCCCUUGGAUAGUAUGAUGCCGAUUUGAUGAAGCAUGUGGUACGCGGCCCCUAGCAGAUGUUUCCCAAGAGGGACAUGGUUUCCUCUGGACAGUGCUUCAGCUAAGGCUUGGGUAUUGGUUGACGGGCCGGCGGCUCUUCCGCAAAAGAAAUGUUUUUCUAACCACAUCAUCAAGAAGGCCGUAUGCUCCCUAUUCUCAACAGACCCGGUUCUUUUAUUACUUCUGAUGAACCCCUUCCACCCGCCGAUUCCUCUUGUGUCCAGCCGAUGUGACGUUGCGGCUAGAAGGUGGAAGGGUGUGUCCGGGGAAGAAAUGUCAAGGCCGGUCAACAGAACUACAUCGGCCAGUGUUGGGGUCAUAGGUCCGUGCCCAAACAAGAAGGCAUUAAGUGCAUCAGACCAAAAAUAAGAAGCCGCUAUUACCAAUGGUUCAUUAUUCUCCAUCUGGGACAAGGAUAGGUUGAUGCACUGGCCGAUUUUGAGUUCCUCCCAUGAGACACUCUUCGAUGCGGCUACCCGUUGGUACCAUUCCCUCCAACCUGGGGUUUCAUUCGGCCAAGACCUAAAAGUACCCAACCAUUGAUCUAAGUCCAUGUCGGAUAGUUUGAAGGGUAUCCUGUGGGUUUCCAAAUUGAUAAGCUCUAUUGGAUCUGGGUUCCCCAUAGGUCCGAGACAAACAAGGUCGGGAUUUCCCGUAAGGUGAAUGGUAAUGCGAUGCCUAACUGCCUAAAAAAGGAAAGGGGGUGUAAAAAAGUAAGAAAUAGAUCUAGAGUAAAUGCGUUGCCGAUAAGAAGAAGGAUUCGGUAUUUACCUCUGGGAUGAAGUUCUGUGUGGUCGGCGUGGUCGCCGGUGCAGAUGCGGACGAUGAGGCCGUGAUAGGGAUCGCCAUUGGGAUCUCCGAUGAAGCUCCUUCUUCUGUGGAUGGAGCAACGGCCGUCGCCACUACCGCCGGAGGCACUACUUCCGGGACAUCGCGCGCUGGAGAGCUGCCGGAGGGAGCCGCCAUUGGGGGAGAAGGGGAGAAGUAACAGGAGGAUGGCGCUAGAAAGCUUCGGCGACAAGGGAAAGAUGCUGAAGAAAGAAGAGGGCGCGCGCGCUGGAAAAGAGAGAUGUGAGCUUGAAGAUGAAGUGCGGGGUAAAGCGCUAUUUAAAGGAUGCCUGAAGGAGGGUAAAAACGGAAUUUUCACCGCGCCGGCGUUUCGAGUUUUUCGGGAGUAGUGGCUGUCGUGGGCGCCCGUUUCGAAAAGAUUGCAAUCAUCAGCUGGAAGACCGCGAAACGGAAGGAUAUUUUCAUUGCGGCCGUUUCCGAGGGGAGGUUAUAAAGAAUUUUGAAGUAAAAGACUAUGUUUUACUCCGAAACUGGGGGGCAUGUGUUGACACCAGAUUUCAUCACUAGUAAAAUCGGCGUCAAGAAGAGAGGGAAUCGGAGAAGCACAGUUGGGAAUCGGUCGAAUGAUGCUACAGUGCGAGAUCGGCCGAUGACUUCUGUCUCGCUUCGGGUCGGACGUGCUGGGGUCCCAAUCGGUUGCCUUUUGCCGAUAAGGAAUCGGCCGAUUAGGAGGAUGGGUUAAUUGGGCCUGUAUGGGCUUGGAAAGGAAUAAAAGGAUGGGGUGGAGAUUAGCCCAUGAAGCGUAGAGUAACCAACCUAGCACGAAUCGUGCUUGUAAAAAUAUUCGUUUUCUGUUUGAAUUAGGGAUAGAAUUCUAGUCGGUUAAGAAGUCAUCUGUACGGGCCUAUAAAUAGCUACCUUUGUAAAUCUGUAAUCAUCAACAAAUCAAUACAACAAGCUACUUUUUCCUCGUACUUACUUUCAAGCAGGCGACUUCGCCAUUACUUUCUUCUUUUUCACGAGUUCGUGCGGGUUGGCAGGGCUGCAUCAUCUUGAUCUCCGGCCGAUUCUGUAAGUUCCGCUUAUCGAGUAAUAUCUAAGCUUUAACUUCGGGCGUAUCGCUAUUGUUUCGUUUAGAUUUAUUCACUAGUUAUCGAUAUUUACUAGAAUCAUAGGGUUUUGCCUGUUGUUCUAGUUUUAUCACCAGUUAUCCAGCUAGGAAUCGGUAGUUUCAGCUCUCUUUAUGUUCUGUUAUUAAAUUCAUCUAUUGCCGAUUAGAUCUGUUCCUAGUGUUGUUACCUUAGCUUUGUGUCGAUUACUCUAGUGGUUUUCUGUCUACAAGGCUAUAGUGAUCGGCUGCCUUAUAGCCGAUUUCUUUAUUACGGCAAAUCGGCCGAUUCGCUGAUAAGCUCUCUCGAGAUCGGAAAUUAAGCCGAUCGUGAUUUCUGGACCUGACACGUAUUCUUCCUUGCCAAUCAACAGGUCAGAUUGGCUGGCACGCCGCGCGAACCGCACCAGGGCAAUCACCCGAACAGGAGUUAAGCAGAUUCUCCCGGGUCGUGUGUCGGACGCUGGGAUUCGGUUGACCGAUUUCUAGCGCCAACACAUAUAUACCUAAAUAGAAGCAUUCAACAAGUUCUACACGUUAAUAUCGCG